UACGUAGGGUGCGAGCGUUGUCCGGAUUUAUUGGGCGUAAAGAGCUCGUAGGCGGUUUGUCGCGUCGGCCGUGAAAUCUCCACGCUUAACGUGGAGCGUGCGGUCGAUACGGGCAGACUUGAGUUCGGUAGGGGAGACUGGAAUUCCUGGUGUAGCGGUGAAAUGCGCAGAUAUCAGGAGGAACACCGGUGGCGAAGGCGGGUCUCUGGGCAGUAACUGACGCUGAGGAGCGAAAGCGUGGGGAGCGAACAGG
rnacentral:rRNA from 1 species